GGAGGCUAUUUUCAUAUUCUUCUUCCUAGGGUUCUUCUCUGCUAUAUUAUCCAAGGUUAUUCUCUUCAUUCUUCUCUAGGUAUCCAUCUCUCUCUCUCUCUCUCUCUCUCUCUCUCUCUCAUACUCUCUCCAAUAUGCUUCUUUUCUCUUCUUCUUUCUUCAUCUUCUCUUUCUUUAUAUAUUUUCUCUUUCAUUAAAUAUUUGUGGAAAUUAGGUUAUGAGUUUUUCCUUUUUGACUUUUUUUCCUUGCUGUAUUGGAACAAUACAUGUGGCUGUGUAUCCAACUCAAUAAUCAAAUAAUUAAAUAAUCAUCAUGCGGCUGUGUAUCCAACUCAAUACAUGCUGCUGAGUUUUUCUUGCGUUUUGUUCUUUAUGUAUUUCAUAUUCUCCAGGUAUCAAACUCAAUAAUCAAAUUAUCAUCCAACUCAAUACAUGCUGCUAUGUUUUUCUUGUUGUAUUUUUUUUCUUCUAUUUUUGGUGCUUUGUUGGUUUAUUUUCUGAUUAUUUCCAUGUUGGUACUACUGGCUGUUGAUUCUCUUCUUGACUGCUUUUGUUGGGCUUCAAUAUAUUCUUUUCUUUUCUUAAUUAUAUAUAUGUGUGUGUGUGUGCAAAUUAUAUUGUCUAUAUUUCCAUUUGAAUUAUCAAAGAAUUUUUUGUAAAAAAAUAGUCUGAUUCGAUGUUAUCCGGAACAGCAACUGACGAGCCCUCAGGGUGCUAAUAUAUAAAGGGUGGAAGAGUUUGGUGAAACAUUGAUAAUACCGAACUAUACCUUUUGUGAUAUAGAAAAAAUGAACAACACAACCCUAAAAAGGGAUUCUUGUAAACAAUAAACCACAACUAUUGCAAACAAGCAAAAUUAUGCAUUGGCGUUAGCAAAACUAAUGCAAUUUAAUCGCGUGUCUUUUGAAAUUGACUCUAAGGUUUUGUGUGAUGGGAUCAAAGGGGCUGUUGGCAAUAGAAUCUGGACAAUCUAUCCCCUCAUUCAGGAGAUUAGGAAGGUCUCGUACGUCUUCCCUCAUAUCGAAUGGUACAGGAUCCCCCAUAAAAGAAAUUGAGCUGCCCACGUCGCAACAUUGAUAGGUGUAAGAGCAGUGGAAUUGGAAAGUUGGGUCAAUCGACCACCUCCGUCUUUAAUGCAUGUACUUGUUUCUGAUGGGCUCCCUUGUCCCCGUAUUAAUUAGUUCAAUUUUAUAUGGGUUAGGAGCUUUGUUCUAGGCUUGCGUUGAGUCCUAACUGUUUCUUGAUCCAACUCUGUUUGUAUUCCUUUACUUUUGUCUCUGUUUUGCUCCUUCUCGUUUGGAUUGUUCAAUGACAUCAGAUUUGGACAAAAAAAAGAGCAAAAUGAAUUUCACACUGUGCAAAGAGCAUCCAUAAAAUCACUGCAUCCAAUACUGCAAGAACAUCAUGUGAGAGAUACUGGGCUCCCGUUGCAGGAUCUUAAACCUCAUUUGUAUAAAAUCAGAUACCUUUUAUUUUUUAUUUUUUUAUUAGACAAAAACAAGAUACCUUUUAUUUUUUGUUUGUUUCAAAGACUCCUAAUAUUUAAUCAUCGACAUAAUCAAUUAUACACUCUGGCAAGAAAGAAUAUUUGUUAUGAAUCACAUGGAAAUAGUGCUCCACAAAUUGGGCCCGUGAACCUCUUCUAGUCUAAAACGUAAUUGAUAUAGGAGCAUGUGAAUUCAUGCCACAAAUUUGGAUGCAAACAAAACACAAUUGUUUACUAUUAAAUUAGCAUUUUGAGAGACUAAUUUGUAAUUUGUUGGCUUCAGUUUUGAUCCAACAAAAAGAACAAAGCCAUUUUAUUCCUCUUCUUUUUAUUGGGCAGAUUGGAGGACAGUCAAAGACAAAUCUCUCAAUUAAAGGCACCUAGCCGACCGACCAAAGCUGCACUGGGGAUUUUUUGGUGUUUUGAACACUAUGAUUUGCCUUUAUGAGGUCAGUUUACUGUUUUAUUAUUACAAGGCUAAAGUAGAAGUCAAGGUACAGAUUGACUUUAAACUGGCAUGCUAAACUUUGCAAUGGAAUAGUCCAGUAUG
rnacentral:lncRNA from 1 species